UUUUUUUUUAAUGUGCAUCAAAAGAGAAUAUUAAGUAGUGUCUACAAUUUAGAAGAUUCAUCAAGAACCCCGAUAAGUACAAAUUAAGAACCUGACUCUGAUCCAUCCUUCAUAUUCCUUGUUUUUAAUUUAGACUUCGACUGAGCCAGAGGUACAGGAGCGUCUGGGAAGAAUCUGAAUAAAAAAGCAAGAGCAGAAAUGGUGCAGUGUUUGCCUUUGCCAUUUUUAUUUUUCAUUCUCUAUAUACUAUGGCUUCAAAAUAAAACCUCAAGAUUAGAAAGCAAUAUGAGCCAUAAAAGCUAGGUUUUGAAAGUAAAAGACUCCCGUUUGCUCCAUAAACAAGGAAGAAGCCUGGGCCAGAGCCAAUGAAACUGAAGUAUUCUCAGGCCUGUCCUGGCAAUUUUUAUGGCAUAUAAAGAGCAGGUACUAGAAUGACAGUCACUGAAGUGAGGCAAAUUAAGGAGCAACAGCAGUUGUAGCAUAUCAAAAAGAGCAAUCAGGGUUCUGGCUUUGGGCCCAAGCUGCCAUUGGUUUUCCUUUGGACAUCAGCCAUUGUGUGACCAAGUAUCACCACUGCCACGACUAGAUGUACAGGGUGGGGAGUCAGGCAAAUCACGAGGGCAAAUCAGCAGAAGGUGAAUGAGUCAGUGAUAUUGAUAGCAUGUUAAUUUACUUAUCAGGCAGAAUUUAGAACUGUAAACUAACACUGAUUGAAUUGUGUCAUCAUGACGAAAUUAUUCACCAGCCUUGUGUUGCCCAAGAUCACAGUGUAUGCUAGGUGUCUUCUCUCCCACAUUUCUGCAACAAAAUGAGGAAGAUCAGAAGAAAAAAUGGGAAUUAAUCAUAAUUGUUGCUGAAAUAAGAAGAUGAUAACCAACAGCCCUCUUCAUUGAUGAAAACAGUAACAUUUUCCAUGGAUGGCUGUUACAGGAAAAAAAAAACAAAAACAAAACCACCACGCUCUGAAAAUACCUUUUGGGAUACAGAUUUGGUUUUUGAGGUGUACAGAAUCUCCUGUGUAGCUAUGCAUUCCCCUUGUAAAGCUGUUGCAGUGUGCAUCAGAAGUAGUUGAGUGAAGUCUCUGAGAGGCUAGAAGACAUCAUGGAAGUGCCGGUUUGGAUGAAAACCACAUCCUGAAUUCCCCAAAAGGAAACCCUGAGAAAGCUACAAGGAAGCUUCUCUCAUCUGUACGCCCUCUGAGGACACAUUUGUACUUAGGCCUCAUGCACUGCAUGUUGAACAGACAACUAAGAUGCCAGCUCUAAACACGUUCCUUCCUUUUCUGUAUUGUAACAUUAUUGUUAAAUAACCUAAUAAUUCAAUUAAAAUACAUCUCAGUGUACAGCAAAACAAAUUCUCUCAAAGCCCUACUUUACCAUUUCACUGAAGCUUGGAAGAGAGACUCCAAAGAAGCAGGAGGUGCUCUGAUCCUGUUAGAUCAGGAGUAGAGAGAGACUGAGCAGUAGUUGAGUCUCCCCAUUUGAAAAUCAGUCUAUAUCUAAUUAGUGAAUCCUUGCCAUAGCCCUGGGAGGUAUAUAAAUAUUGCCAUCCUGUUUUACAGGAACAUUAUAUGGAGGGGAUGAUUUCUUCUGUUUUAUAAAAAAUGCCAUUAACCAGUUAAACAAAGGCAAAUUAGGCAGUAAUAUACUGUGAUCGUGCCUUAUAAAGUACAGUUUAUACACUUCUGUAUACAGCUGAUUACAAUUCUAGCUUAUAUGCUACAGAACCUUUGCAUUUACUGUUUUAUCCAAUGCUUUACAGUUUUGUUAACUUUCUCAGCCAUGAAGUGUUUUAUCUCAGAACACAUGACAAGC
ensembl:lncRNA